rnacentral:rRNA from 1 species
UAACUAGAGUAGCACUCGCAUAUCAAUAAGCGGAGGAAAAGAAACUAACAAGGAUUCCCCUAGUAACGGCGAGUGAAGCGGGAAGAGCUCAAAUUUGAAAUCUUAAAGGGUUUCCCUUUACGAAUUGUAGUUUAAAGAAGUGUUUUCUGUUGAGGUUUUGGUAAAAGUUCUUUGGAAUAGGACAUCAUAGAGGGUGAGAAUCCCGUAUUUGACCUUUACUUUCAACUUUGUGAUACACUUUCAAAGAGUCGGAUUGUUUGGGAAUGCAGUCCAAAAUGGGUGGUAAAUUUCAUCUAAAGCUAAAUAUUGGCGAGAGACCGAUAGCGAACAAGUACCGUGAGGGAAAGAUGAAAAGAACUUUGAAAAGAGAGUUAAACAGUUACGUGAAAUUGUCAAAAGGGAAGCGUUUGACACCAGUGUUGUUUUUCUGAAAAUCAAUUAAAGAACUGUUUAUGCUAAGUUGUUUAGACUUUAUCAGCUAAUCUGCUUAGUUUUGAGCUUUUCUUUAAUGCACUUUUCAGUUAACAAGUCAACAUCAAUUUCUUUUGCUGUAAAAAAGCUUGAGGAAGGUGGCUUGAGAUUCGUCUUAAGUGUUUAUAGCCUCUUGCCUAUGCAGUCGGAGAGAUUGAGGUCUGCAGCGUAGAUCCUUCGGGGCUAAAUGCAUUUGUGCUAAGUUAUAAGCAUUUUAUAGACAACUUGUUGACUAUGAUUUGUCUUGUAGCUUACUCGCUUAUGUUAUUUUACCUACGCUUAGGAUGUUGAGUAGCGACAUACGCAC